UGAAAUGCGUUGAGGCGCAGCAGUUGACUGGACAUCUAGGGGUAAAGCACUGUUUCGGUGCGGGCCGCGAUAGCAGUAUCAAAUCGAGGCAAACUCUGAAUACUAGAUAUGACCUCAAAAUAAGAGGGGUCAAGGUCAACCAGUGAGACGAUGGGGGAUAAGCUUCAGCGUCGAGAGGGAAACAACCCGGAUCACCAGCUAAGGCCCUUAAAGCUUCAUCGUUCGUGAAGAUCGACUUACUAAGAGUUCACCAAUCUUGAUAGUAGAGUGCAUGCCUAGCUAUGAAGCUCUCAUAUUUUCCAUUACCAUUGCGCUCAAAAUUAAUGCGUUGGUAA
rnacentral:lncRNA from 1 species